rnacentral:rRNA from 1 species
GAUGAACGCUGGCGGCGUGCCUAAUACAUGCAAGUCGAGCGAACGGACGAGAAGCUUGCUUCUCUGAUGUUAGCGGCGGACGGGUGGGUAACACGUGGAUAACCUACUUAUAAGACUGGGAUAACUUUGGGAAACCGGAGCUAAUACCGGAUAAUAUUUUGAACCGCAUGGUUCAAAAGUGAAAGACGGUCUUGCUGUCACUUAUAGAUGGAUCCGCGCUGCAUUAGCUAGUUGGUAAGGUAACGGCUUACCAAGGCAACGAUGCAUAGCCGACCUGAGAGGGUGAUCGGCCACACUGGAACUGAGACACGGUCCAGACUCCUACGGGAGGCAGCAGUAGGGAAUCUUCCGCAAUGGGCGAAAGCCUGACGGAGCAACGCCGCGUGAGUGAUGAAGGUCUUCGGAUCGUAAAACUCUGUUAUUAGGGAAGAACAUAUGUGUAAGUAACUGUGCACAUCUUGACGGUACCUAAUCAGAAAGCCACGGCUAACUACGUG